rnacentral:tRNA from 1 species
GGUUGUGGCUCACCGGUAGAGCACUCGCCUAGCACGGGUAGGACCUGGGUUCGAUCCUCAGCACCA